rnacentral:misc_RNA from 1 species
ACUCAACGCCUAUUGCACAAGUAACACUAAAUAAACUGAAACAUUUGACACAUUGGGCAUCACUCCCCAUCAAUUUCAAUCAUAUUAGCCAGAAAGUUCAAGGGAACUUCCAAGCCUAGAGCAGUAAUCAAGGAAGAAUAUCAACCCUUCCCCAGAUUCCAAAAGCGGUUCUAUUUGCAUCAAAGAAAUUGCCAGUCGUCCUCAUGUCCCUCCUCAUUCGUCAUGUGCACCACACCAUCA